rnacentral:misc_RNA from 1 species
CAAAAUGUACUGGCAAAGCAAUGGAGAUUAUCUUGCUGUCAAGGUUGAUAGAUAUACAAAGACGAAGAAAAGCACAUACACAGGGUUUGAGCUUUUCCGCAUAAAAGAACGGGAUAUACCAAUUGAAGUGCUGGAGCUUGAGAAUAAGAACGACAAGAUCAUUGCCUUUGCCUGGGAGCCAAAGGGGCACAGGUUUGCAGUUAUUCAUGGUGACAACCCAAGGCCAGAUAUUAGCUUUUACUCUAUGCGAAGCACACACAACAGUGGCCGAGUGUCAAAACUUACAACUCUCAAAGGCAAGCAGGCCAAUGCUCUUUUCUGGUCACCUGCUGGACGAUUCAUCAUUCUUGCUGGUCUGAAAGGCUUCAACGGACAGUUGGAAUUCUACAAUGUUGAUGAGCUGGAGACGAUGGCAACUGCAGAGCAUUUCAUGGCUACUGAUAUUGAAUGGGAUCCCACUGGAAGGUAUGUUGCAACUGCUGUAACUUCAGUCCACGAGAUGGAAAAUGGUUUCAACAUAUGGUCCUUUAAUGGAAAACUCCUCUAUCGAAUCUUGAAGGAUCAUUUCUUCCAGUUUGCAUGGCGGCCGAGGCCACCAUCCUUCUUGAGUCCGGAAAAAGAGGAAGAGAUAGCAAAGAACUUGAAGAAGUACAGCAAG